UUUCGAAUUUUUUAAUCUGUCAUCUGUAUACUUGUUGUACCAGAUUUUGUUAUCCCGUUAAUUUCAGCUUUCUGAGCAUGGGAGAGUUAAAAUACGAAUUCACUAACCUUUUUUACCUUGUGGCAAGUUUUUUUAUCUUCUCCAUAUACGGCGAGGAAUUUCUCGAGCCGUCGACAAAACGUAAACAGCCGAUAACAUAGGUAUAAUAGCCGAGCAUUCGACACUCCCGAGAUCUCCUCUACCAAGGUUACAUACUAACGUACCUCGUAUUCGUCUUCUAUCCUUCAACGAGACAACAUAAACGAAAAUGAGAUGUAUUAAGUUAUUUAAUAAUU